rnacentral:lncRNA from 1 species
AAUCACGUUCAAGAAGUCUCAUUCAGCACACAUCGCGAUACUUGCCAUCAGUUUCCAUGUGCCACAGGGUCGCUGAAAAGAUGUAAAGGAAGCAGUCAUCCCUGUGGUGUUUGUGGAGAGGUUUUCCUUCAGAAAUGGAGAAGACAAAAAGCUGCGGAGGCAGACAUUUGCAGCAGAUUGUUCGCAGAUAAUGAUGUUCUUCUUGAUCAUGCACAAGGACUCACCUCUUUAACUCUUUAUCUUCCCAACACACACAGAAAUGCUCCCUUUAUCAGUGUUUAGACUUUGCAGUGCAGUUUUGUUUUAGUUCUAAGCUUAUAAUGAAUACAUUGUGACCUUCCAGCAACCCAUAUAUUGUAUA